UACGAAGGGUGCAAGCGUUAAUCGGAAUUACUGGGCGUAAAGCGCGCGUAGGUGGUUUGGUAAGAUGGAAGUGAAAGCCCCGGGCUCAACCUGGGAAUUGCUUUCAUAACUGCCUGACUAGAGUACGGUAGAGGGUGGUGGAAUUUCCUGUGUAGCGGUGAAAUGCGUAGAUAUAGGAAGGAACAUCAGUGGCGAGGGCGACCACCUGGACUGAUACUGACGCUGAGGUGCGAAAGCGUGGGGAGCAAACAGG
rnacentral:rRNA from 1 species